GGGAUGAUGGGGCCCCAGGCCCAUACUCUGGAGUUCCUGUUGUAGUACAGUGGAAAUGAAUCCAACUAGUAUCCAUGAGGAUGAUGGGGUUUUUUUGUUUUGUGUGUGUGUGUUUUGUUUCGUUUUUUGUUUUUUGCCUUUUCUAGGGCCGCUCCUGAGGCAUGUGGAGGUUCCCAGGCUAGGGGUCUAAUCGGAGCUGUAGCCGCUGGCAUACGCCACAGCCACAGCAACACCAGAUCUGAGCCGCAUCUGUGACCUACACCACAGCUCACGGCAAAGCGGGAUCCUUAACCCACUGAGAGAGGCCAGGGAUCGAACCCGCAACCUCAUGGUUCCUAGUCAGAUUCGUUAACCGCUGAGCCACAAUGGGAACUCCCAAAGAUGAGGUUUUGAUCCCUGGCCUCGCUCAGUGGGUUAAGGAUCCCGCUUUGCCGUGAGCUGUGGUGUAGGUGGCAGACACAGCUUGAAACCCGAGUCUCUGUGGCUGUGACCUAGGCCAAAGGCUGGCAGCUGCAGCUCCAAUUCGCCCCCUAGCCUGGGAACUUCCAUAUGCCUCAAGUACGGCCCUAAAAAGAAGAAAAAAAACCAGCCCAGGCCCCAUCAUGCCUCAUGUGCAUGUAAUUCCUUCAUACUUUGACUUGUCUCUGUGGCAGGUUCAUGCCCUACAGGUGAGGCCAUGCCUCAAGAAGUGGAUUCAAGGAGGGAGAAGUUGGGAAGAAUCCUGCAAGCAAGAGCACCCUCCCCACCUCCCCUGUUCUCUCCCUAUGCCUAUCCUUCCACCCCAUCCAUCAGAUGGGUAGAGGGGUCUCCCCAGGAUGAAUGUGGAGGGACGGCAGGGCCAGCAGGAGAGGUCCCUGGGCAGAGCUGGCCCCUGGUUGGAGCCCAGCAUCUCCAAACUGUAGCCCAGAGAAGGAGGCACAUCAGGACCCAGGAAGAACCCCUCAGAGCUGGAGUUGACUUGACCAACUUUCCCUGAGAUGAGAUGGACUCCGGAGAGGAUGGUGAGAUGGGAGGUCAGAGGGGCCUGCAGGGGGCAUCUUUUUUUCAUCAUGGAUAGGCACACAGAACCAGGACCGGAGGCAGUGGAAGGGCCUCGGGUCACUGCCUGUCACUGACCUGAAGGACAGGCCAACUCAGAUCUCCCUGGAAGCUGGCUCUCCUGUUCUGACUGGAGACUGAGACCCCAACUAGGAUGUGAGCAGGGACAUUCUGGCCAGGAACACUGGGGAGCAGACUGUGAGAGGUACUUGUCAUCUCAGCCUUAUCUGGACACAUUUGUGUUCCUUCCCAGCAGGCACCCCAUUCCCAGGCACUGGUUGUUCUCCCCCAGGGCCUGCUAGGAUGACCCCCAAUGCACUAGCCAGGCAUCCACCCAUCCCACCUUCCAGGGACACAGGGGUCGGGUCCCCACACCUCAACAGGUGAAGCCCAUUCUUCACCAGCUGCCAGCACGGAGCCAGCCUCCUUCCCGGGAAACCAUCUGCUCAGCUCAGGUUGCCUGAAAUGGGUACCAGCAUCUGAACAAACAGUCCUGAGUGAGGCGGGGCUGGGGGUGGUGUUGCAAGAGGUAGGGCCCCUGCCCCUAGCCCUGCUCUGGAGGGAAUUCGCACGAGUUCUCACAGCUGCCGCUGUCCCAGUCCUGCCUGAUGACUGCAUAGACUUCCCACUCCUCAGCCCCAUGGCUGCCACUGCCUGCCCACUGGAGCUCUCCCCGGCCCUCCCCAGGCCACCCGUCUUCUUGUCCUGGCACAUGAGUGGCCUCUGCUUCCCUCCAGGAAGAGUCCUCCCAUGGCUCCCAUCCCUGUCACCACACCAGUCAAGCUGGGCUGUCCUUCUCAGUGUCCACCACUGCCCUAAUGCCAAGGGCAGGCUGGCACACAGUGGGUAAUCAGAAAGCAUUGCUGCCUGUGGCCGUGACUGUGGAGUGAGUGCUCCCAGGGAUGUGGCCUGUUUAGUUUGGACCAGCUGUUCUUCCUGCUCCUCAGUCGACGUGAAGGCCUGACCCAGACUUAGAGCUGGGCAGGCUCCUGCCUGGGGGCUGCCCAUGUAAGACCCAUACUCAGGCCAGCUGACUCUGCCCCUGCCCACUUGGGGAAAGAAGGGACUGGCACGGCCCCUCCCCCAUACCCCUCUGCUGGCAUUGGCAUUCAGAGGAGGGGUGGGGGGGGCCCUGCCACCCGGGAGGAACAGCCUCUCUGGGCCUCAGAGCUCUCAUCUGGGAAAUGGUGCCCCAUCUAUGGGGUGCAGGGUUGCUGUGGACCUAGGAUCUGGGCACUCUGUGCCUGGCACCCCUCAGAAGGCUUUGGACCCUACCUUGCCUGCUGCCUAGGGGUCGGGGCAGGGAGCAAGUGACCUUCGUGCAUCUUUUUCCACGAGAGACUGUCAGCGAUCUCUGUCUCUAGGUGGGGGACUUCCAGACAGCACAGAGGCGGGACCUGUGGGGUCCUGGGUACCCGUAGGACGGCACAGGGCUCCCCAAGGACCCGUGGGUACACAGGGGUCCCUAGCAAGCCUGAUGGCCUAUUUGCUAUGUGAUCUCAGGCCGGGGUUGGGGAGGAGUGUGAGGUGUGGCCCCUCCUGCUGGGUACUCCAAAAAGCAGUAAGUGCCUCCCCCAAGGUUCAUUUUCCAUUUCCUGUAGGUCGG
rnacentral:lncRNA from 1 species